rnacentral:rRNA from 1 species
UACGUAGGGUGCAAGCGUUGUCCGGAAUUAUUGGGCGUAAAGAGCUCGUAGGCGGUUUGUCGCGUCUGCCGUGAAAGUCCGGGGGCUCAACUCCGGAUCUGCGGUGGGUACGGGCAGACUAGAGUGAUGUAGGGGAGACUGGAAUUCCUGGUGUAGCGGUGAAAUGCGCAGAUAUCAGGAGGAACACCGAUGGCGAAGGCAGGUCACUGGGCCGCAACUGACGCUGAGGAGCGAAAGCAUGGGGGAGCGAACAGG